GCCUUUCGAUACCUCAGUUGUAUGCUCCAACUUCCUCUGUGGUCAUGGCUACAACUCUGCCAUGGCGGCAUCCACCGCCUCCGUUGCGCCUGCACAGGCGCCCAAUCCCCUUUCAUAACGCAGUCACUGUGCGUGCCUUCCAGCGCAGCGACUUCGACAGGUUCGCUAGGGAUGCCUGGCGCACUGCUAACGAUGGCUUUGAGCAGCUGAUAUUUGAGACCAAGAAGACCGCAGAGCGUAUUGACCGCAGAUACUCCGUCUCCCGCCGUCUUAAUUCUGUCGCCCAAUCUGCCGCUGACCGCUUCCGUGAGAUUGAUAGAGAGCUGGAGAUUAGUGUUCGGUGGCGCACAUUUUCCAUGGAUUUUGUUAGAAAUUGGCCUAGGUACAGGAGGCAGCUUAAUAAUUUUCUGGAUACACCAUUGGGAAGAAGUUUUGCUACUAUUUUCUUCCUCUGGUUUGCAUUAUCUGGGUGGCUGUUUCGCUCCUUGAUAUUUGCUACAUGGGUUCUGCCAUUUGCUGCACCUCUU
rnacentral:misc_RNA from 1 species